GUGCUCGCUUCGGCAGCACAUAAACUAAAAUUGGAACGAUACAGAGAUUAGCAUGGUCCCUGUGCAAGGAUGACACGCAAACUCAUGAAGCAUUUCAUAUUUUA
rnacentral:snRNA from 1 species